ACCCUCUGAUUCCCUUUCCCAUCUGAUUUGAACACUGGUCUUGGUGGUAGUUAAAGGAGGAAAAGGAACAAUAAAUUUGGCGUCCCAGUGCUUAUAGACUGGUAUCAAUAUGGGCAUUAGGGUAUAUAGACUGGCGUCCCAGUGCUUAUAGACUGGUAUAUAGCUUGUGGGCUGUUUCAAACAAGG
rnacentral:snoRNA from 1 species